rnacentral:lncRNA from 1 species
AGGUGCCAGGUGCUGCCUGGGCACCAGGCGGGCCGCUGUAGGGGGCCGGCUGCGAGGCCUGCGUGGUGUAGGGCUGCGGGGGGAAGCUGCCCGCUGGGUACUGCUGAGGCUGCUGCGCCGGCAGCUGCUGGGCCUGGCCCUGCCCUGGGAAGGCAGCAGCUGGAGCUGGUUGCUGGCUGUAGGCUGGGAACUGCUGCGUCGGCUGCGAGGCGGCCUGCUGCGGGCUGUAGCCGGCUGGGUACUGCACGCCAUACUGCUGCUGUGGCUGCGCCUGUGGCUGCUGGGCAGGGUAACCCGGCUGCUGGUACUGCUGGUACAUCUGGCCUGGGGACAAAGAACUCGGUUGGUUGCGAGCUGGUACCUGAGCUAUAUAAUCAAGAUCAGAUGCACGACAUCCUAGCCGUUUGACUUGCAGAAAUAACAUGUACGAAUUACAGAUUUUAGCUUCUGAACUGUGCCAUUCUGAAGACAGAACAAAUAGUCCUAAUUUGACAUGGGGCCAACUAUUUCAGGGGAUGCCAAGAGCCAUAUACCUUAAUUAGCACUACACUGGUGUGUAACAGAGCAGGAAUCUCUACAUGGCUUGCUAACUUCUCCAGAACUUACGCUGUAGAUUAAAGUACCUCACAAGUUAAACAUGUCCUCAGAUUGUCUGUUUAUAAUAGUUUUUAAGACUAUUUCUGUACUAAGUACUGUAGCAGUGGUACAUUAUUUAUUCUGACCAUAUUUUCUAGGCAAGUCCUCCAUGUCUUAACAUCUGACUCGCUGUAAGCCAGGUUUUCUUAAGAGCCCCAGGGGUAUAGCCCCUAAAACUGAAAUAAAACUAUACAUUCUUAAGGUUGGGUAUUCAAAUUCAAUGCUGACUUUUCCUAAGUUUACUUUGUUCAUUUUCUUGGCAAGCAGAGGCAGAAUAUUUGUUUUGACUUAACCUAUGGGCCCUGCUUAGGUUUUCUGCUUCUGCUGUUUCUCGUUUGAAUAACACGCACAAGGAACAAAAUUAUCUGCCAAACCGAAGCUUAGCUGAACUGGAGCAGACUCAAAGACUUCACUACUAUAAAGUGUUACUGUACGAUCAGUCAUUCUGCAAAGAUCAACAGGCUGUAUAAAUAGAACUGCAAAUCUUAUCGUCUGAAUUACACUAAGACAGUCAAGGGAGCUCUGCUCCAAGUUCUCCCACAUCCCCAUACGUGCCGCUUCAGCAGGACUCCUCCUUUCCUUUGAACUCUGUGUUAAUUGCAGCUCAUAGCAAAGGUGUAUUACAUUCCCACUGACCCUUCAAAACUUUAUUUGGUAUACGACUGUUAUGAGACGAAAAGAGUACUGAGCAGAAGGGCUGAAGAGAAUGCAGAGCACACACACACACUUCUUUGUUGUGCUGAUUAAAUUCUAACUGGUGAAUGCUUGAAACUUUUGAUCGGGAGGAGGCAAGCCAUUCAGUUGUAUCUGCACAGAGAUCUAAUGACCUUGCAUUCACAAAGAAAAAUAACUAAUAACCAAUAAUAUCACACCUAAUGCCAUUUUUAAAAAUCCUGGGUUUUAAGAAAAUCUUUUAAAAGAUUUUAUAUAUAUCAGACGUUGAAUCAUUAUUAUAGCUUUAAGCCACAAAGAUGACUCUUCUUUCUUGUUUAUAUCCCUUAAAUAUUACAAGAGAAGUAAGCAAAAAAGGCUGAAAGCAGCAAAAACAAGCAUUUUCAUAAUGCUCCACUUCAACC